rnacentral:rRNA from 1 species
GACGAACGCUGGCGGCGUGCUUAACACAUGCAAGUCGAGCGGUAAGGCCCUUUCGGGGGUACACGAGCGGCGAACGGGUGAGUAACACGUGGGUGACCUGCCCUCAGCUCUGGGAUAAGCCUGGGAAACCGGGUCUAAUACCGGAUAUGACUCCAUGACGCAUGUUGUGGGGUGAAAGCCUUGUGCGGCUGAGGAUGGGCCCCGCGGCCUAUCAGCUUGUUGGUGGGGUNAUGGCCUACCAAGGCGACGACGGUAGCCGGCCUGAGAGGCGACCGGCCACACUGGGACUGAGACACGGCCCAGA